rnacentral:rRNA from 1 species
AACGUACGCUGGCGGCAUGCCUAACACAUGCAAGUCGAACGAGACCUUCGGGUCUAGUGGCGCACGGGUGCGUAACGCGUGGGAACCUGCCCUUAGGUUCGGAAUAACUCCCCGAAAGGGGUGCUAAUACCGGAUAAUGUCUUCGGACCAAAGAUUUAUCGCCUUUGGAUGGGCCCGCGUUGGAUUAGCUAGUUGGUAGGGUAAAAGCCUACCAAGGCGACGAUCCAUAGCUGGUCUGAGAGGAUGAUCAGCCACACUGGGACUGAGACACGGCCCAGACUCCUACGGGAGGCAGCAGUGGGGAAUAUUGGACAAUGGGCGAAAGCCUGAUCCAGCAAUGCCGCGUGAGUGAUGAAGGCCUUAGGGUUGUAAAGCUCUUUUACCCGGGAUGAUAAUGACAGUACCGGGAGAAUAAGCGCCGGCUAACUCCGUG